AAAUAAGAAACAAAAAAUUGUAUUUAGUUUCGACCUAAAUUUUAGGUGUUGGCCCACCCUUAUUUG
rnacentral:tRNA from 1 species